UACGGGGGGAGCAAGCGUUGUUCGGAUUUACUGGGCGUAAAGGGCGCGUAGGCGGCGUGACAAGUCACUUGUGAAAUCUCCGGGCUUAACUCGGAGCGGCCAAGUGAUACUGUCGUGCUAGAGUGCGGAAGGGGCUACUGGAAUUCUCGGUGUAGCGGUGAAAUGCGUAGAUAUCGUAAGGAAGACCAGUGGCGAAGGCGGGUCUCUGGACAGUUCCUGACGCUGAGGCACGAAGGUCAGGGGAGCAAACGGG
rnacentral:rRNA from 1 species